rnacentral:lncRNA from 1 species
UUUUGGGGGAAAAGUUGGGCAGUGAGAAUGAAUCAUUACAAGCGACGUGAGCUUGGAGUGUGCCUGUUCACUUCUGUAGAAGUUUAAAAGGAUAUCCUUGAAGAUUAGUCAGAGAGCCUCUUAUGUGCCUCUAAAGGUAGGAAAAAGAACCCUGAUUUCUGGUUAUAGAAUAUAUUUGUAAUUCUAUGGCAA